AUUGAACGCUGGCGGCAUGCUUUACACAUGCAAGUCGAACGGUAACAGGCCUUCGGGUGCUGACGAGUGGCGAACGGGUGAGUAAUGCAUCGGAACGUACCCAGAGGUGGGGGAUAACGCAGCUAAAGCUGUGCUAAUACUGCAUGUGAUCUGAGGAUGAAAGCGGGGGACCGAGCAGCAAUGUUUGGCCUCGCGCCUUUGGAGCGGCCGAUGUCGGAUUAGCUAGUUGGUUGGGUAAAGGCCUACCAAGGCGACGAUCCGUAGCUGGUCUGAGAGGACGACCAGCCACACUAGGACUGAGACACGGCCAAGACUCCUACGGGAGGCAGCAGUGGGGAAUUUUGGACAAUGGGCGCAAGCCUGAUACAGCAAUGCCGCGUGCGGGAAGAAGGCCUUCGGGUUGUAAACCGCUUUUGGCAGGAACGAAACGGUGUCCGCUAAUACCGGGCGCGAAUGACGGUACCUGCAGAAUAAGCACCGGCUAACUACGUG
rnacentral:rRNA from 1 species